AGUGAACGCUGGCGGUAGGCCUAACACAUGCAAGUCGAACGGCAGCACAGUAAGAGCUUGCUCUUACGGGUGGCGAGUGGCGGACGGGUGAGGAAUACAUCGGCAUCUACUUUUUCGUGGGGGAUAACGUAGGGAAACUUACGCUACUACCGCAUAUGACCUACGGGUGAAAGCAGGGGAUCUUCGGACCUUGCGCGACUGAAUGAGACGGUGCCGGAUUAGCUAGUUGGCGGGGUAAAGGCCCACCAAGGCGACGAUCCGUAGCUGGUCAGAGAGGAUGAUCAGCCACACUGGAACUGAGACACGGUCCAGACUCCUACGGGAGGCAGCAGUGGGGAAUAUUGGACAAUGGGCGAAAGCCUGAUCCAGCCAUACCGCGUGGGUGAAGAAGGCCUUCGGGUUGUAAAGCCCUUUUGUUAGGAAAGAAAAGCAGCAGGUUAAUACCCCGCUGUUCUGACGGUACCCAAAGAAUAAGCACCGGCUAACUUCGUG
rnacentral:rRNA from 1 species